rnacentral:rRNA from 1 species
UACGUAGGGGGCUAGCGUUGUCCGGAAUCAUUGGGCGUAAAGAGCGUGUAGGCGGCUCGAUAAGUCCGCUGUGAAAGUCCAGGGCUCAACCCUGGGAUGCCGGUGGAUACUGUCGGGCUCGAGUCCGGAAGAGGCGAGUGGAAUUCCUGGUGUAGCGGUGAAAUGCGCAGAUAUCAGGAGGAACACCAGUGGCGAAGGCAGCUCGCUGGGACGUGACUGACGCUGAGACGCGAAAGCGUGGGGAGCAAACAGG